rnacentral:lncRNA from 1 species
CGAACCUCAAUUGGUAGAGCUAUCGAUGUUGCUGUGGCAGCCCCAUCUUCUUUUAUCGCUCCCUCUUCAGCAGACGGCAUGCUAGGGAGCAUUGUCGGAGCCGACAGCACUAGAAUCGGUUCAAAAAUCGAUGUCGAUGGUACGUCAGGUUCUCUCAUCGGCAUGGAUGUAGUUGUCCGACCCUUCUUUUGUGGUCGGAAGGGUCUAGCUUCGGACGUCGC